GACGAACGCUGGCGGCGUGCUUAACACAUCAGCAAUUGAUUGGUGGCGGACGGGGGAGUAACGCGUAAAGAACUUGCCUCACAGCUAGGGACAACAUUUGGAAACGAAUGCUAAUACCUAAUACUGUGAGAGAGCUUUGCGUCCCAUUAGCUAGUUGGAGAGGUAACGGAUCACCAAGGCGAUGAUGGGUAGCCGGCCUGGGAGGGUGAUAGGCCCAAAGGGGACUGGGACACGGCCCUUACUCCUACGGGAGGCAGGAGUGGGGAACAUUGGACAAUGGACCAAAGUCUGAUCCAGCAAUUCUGUGUGCACGAUGAAGUUUUCGGAAUGUAAAGUGCUUUCAGUUGGGAAGCGGUACCAACAGAAGAAGUGACGGCUAAAGACGUGCCAGCAGCCGCGGUAAUUC
rnacentral:rRNA from 1 species